rnacentral:rRNA from 1 species
AUUGAACGCUGGCGGCAGGCCUAACACAUGCAAGUCGAGCGGGGUUUUCGGACCUAGCGGCGGACGGGUGAGUAAUGCGUAGGAAGCUGCCCGAUAGAGGGGGAUACCAGUUGGAAACGACUGUUAAUACCGCAUAAUGCCUACGGACCAAAGUGUGGGACCUUCGGGCCACAUGCUAUCGGAUGCGCCUACGUGGGAUUAGCUAGUUGGUGAGGUAAUGGCUCACCAAGGCGACGAUCUCUAGCUGGUUUGAGAGGAUGAUCAGCCGCACUGGAACUGAGACACGGUCCAGACUCCUACGGGAGGCAGCAGUGGGGAAUAUUGGACAAUGGGCGCAAGCCUGAUCCAGCCAUGCCGCGUGUGUGAAGAAGGCCUUCGGGUUGUAAAGCACUUUCGGCGAGGAGGAAGAGAUGUAUGUUAAUAGCAUGCAUUUUUGACGUUACUCGCAGAAGAAGCACCGGCUAACUCUGUGCCAGCAGCCGCAGUAACAC